UUCUUACUGGAAGCGGAGUUUCAAGAUAGGCAGAGGAAUAAAACUUCUAACUUUGCAAUCACCUCCUCAUUCCUUGUUCUGUAGUGUGAGCCAUUUUUCAAACAUAAUUUUCUAGAUGCAUGAUGAUGAUGGGGUUAAUGUAAUAUCAAGGUUUGAGGCAAAAUGAAUGUGCAAGCUGAUAUUUCCAGGAGUUAUUUAUUUUACAGAGAAACAGAGAGACUGUGAGUGGGGGGAGGGGCAGAGGGAGAGAAUCUCCAAGCAAACUUCCUGCUGAGCCUGGAGCCUAUAUGUGAGCCUCCAUCCCAUGACCCAUGAGAUCAUUACCUGAGCUGAAACCAAGAUUUGGACACUCAACCAACGGAGUCACCCAGGCACCCAUACUUUUUUCUUUUUUAUCCUAUUUCUGAAGUCCUCAGCUUUGGAGAUUAUUCUAAAAGGGUCUAGAAAGCUCUUGGAAAAUUCUCAGAGACACCUAAAAUGUUCUCGGAGGAUUCUGCUUGUUGUGGCUGGUUAUGCAUCAAGAUGAGAGCAGAGAUUUCAGAGAAGGCCUGCUCCUGAGUCACAGAAUGAAUAAUUAGCACACAAAACUCUCUUCACCUGCUAGUAAACGCCAAACAAUAAUUAACAAUUCCAGAAUAUCCUCACACUCAGUAUAGGGACACCCAGUUUUCUAAAAAAAAAAAAAAAAAGAGGGGUGGCAUGAGGGUAGGAAGGAAGGUAGGUCAUGAAAUCACAACAGCUUUCUUAUGCGAAAGAACAUGACAGAAUAUACAAACACCAUCAGAGAGAGAUCUAAGAAGAAAAACAGAGGACAAGAGCAGAGACGAACCUUGAAAACAAGACAAGGUUCUUGUUAGUGGAAUGAGCCAGACACAAUAGGGGGAAUAUUGUAGGAUUCCACUGAAUAUCUUCAGGCACCUAGAAAUGGCCAUUCAUUGAGAUGGAAAAUAAAAGAGGUGUCCCUGGGGACGGCUGGGAGAGGAGAAUGAAAAGUGAGUGUUGAAUGGGCACAGGGUUUCUUUGGAAUGAUGAAAAAGUUUGGGAAAUGGGUAUUGAUGAGGGUAGCACAACACUGUAAAUGUACUUAAUGCCACCUAAUUAUACCCUUGAAACUGGUUACAAGGGUAAACUUUGCUAUGCACAUAUUUCCACAGUAAAACAUAUAUACAUACAAUGAAAACAAGCAAAUGCAAAAAGCAAGCAUGAGACACCGUGUGACACAAAAUGACUGAUGCUACCUUGUCAUGAACCUAGAGAAUAGAAAAAAGAAUUUUCAGAAUAAAAGGAAUUCAACUAGAUUCUCAUCUGUGAGGAUGAUAUCAUGUUUUCCAUUGAGGAAAAAAUAAUAGACGAUCAAAUAACAGAAGAGAAAAACACCCAGGACUGAGUAGUGCUGUUUCUGAGAUGGAGAGGAGAUAAGUAGAACAGGUUAUAAUAUCCUGUCUAUGUAUGAUGGUUUUACUAAAGUUAAUGUAUUCCUUAGGCUAUCAUCCUUACUUGUGAAGAGGAAAAACAAGGAAGAAAGAGCCUGUCCCUGAUAAACAGCGAGUUGGCUGGAGGGAAUGAGAGUCUUUUCCACCAAGUCCAGGGAUAUGGCAUUGGAGCACAAAUGGUGAAACUGUUUAAAGUCCAAUAGAAAGGCAAUAAAGAACAAAAUUAGAAAA